UUACGAGGUCAGGACACUGUGAGGAUUGACAGAUUGAAAGCUCUUUCUUGAUUCAGUGGGUGGUGGUGCAUGGCCGUUCUUAGUUGGUGGAGUGAUUUGUCUGGUUAAUUCCGUUAACGAACGAGACCUUAACCUGCUAAAUAGUCACGCGAACCGGUCCGCAAGGGCUCAAAGUUCGCGGCUCGACUUCUUAGAGGGACUAUUCGCACCCGCCAGCGAAUGGAAGUUUGAGGCAAUAACAGGUCUGUGAUGCCCUUAGAUGUUCUCGGCCGCACGCGCGUUACACUGACGGAGUCAACGAGCGUUUUUCCUUGCCCGAUAGGGCUGGGUAACCUCCUGAAACUCCGUCGUGAUGGGGAUAGAUCAUUGCAAUUAUUGAUCUUGAACGAGGAAUUCCUAGUAGGCGCGAGUCAUCAACUCGCGCCGAUUACGUCCCUGCCCUUUGUACACACCGCCCGUCGCUCCUACCGAUUGAACGGUCCGGCGAGAACUCCGGAUGGUC
rnacentral:rRNA from 1 species